UACGGAGGGGGACUAGCGUUGUUCGGAAUUACUGGGCGUAAAGGGCGCGUAGGCGGCCUGCUAAGUCGAACGUGAAAUCCCCCGGGCUCAACCCGGGAACUGCGUCCGAUACUGGCAGGCUUGAAUUCGGGAGAGGGAGUGCGGAAUUCCAGGUGUAGCGGUGAAAUGCGUAGAUAUCUGGAGGAACACCGGUGGCGAAGGCGGCAUCCUGGACCGAAAUUGACGCUGAGGCGCGAAAGCCAGGGGAGCAAAGCGGGG
rnacentral:rRNA from 1 species